GGAUGUGAGGGCGAUCUGGCUGUAACAUCUGCCACCCCACUGAUCACCAGGGUUGAUUCAGCUGACCUGGCUGACUACGUGGGUGUCCCCUUUCUCCCUCACCACUCCGUGUUCAUCCCUCCUGAAGCUGCUCACUUGGUCAAAGAGGAUGACCUACCUCGAUAGAGGAGGACCGUUUCCUCGGUCAAGGGUAUACGAGUAGCUGUGCUUCCCUGCUAGAACCUCCAAACAAGCUCUCAAGAAUAUGGUCUCAAGGUGCCUCCAUUUACCUCAAAAUGUCUCGUUUAUCCUUCUUU
ensembl:misc_RNA 7SK 7SK RNA